UACGGGGGGGGCAAGCGUUGUUCGGAAUUACUGGGCGUAAAGGGCUCGUAGGCGGCCAACUAAGUCAGACGUGAAAUCCCUCGGCUUAACCGGGGAACUGCGUCUGAUACUGGUUGGCUUGAAUCCGGGAGAGGGAUGUGGAAUUCCAGGUGUAGCGGUGGAAUGCGUAGAUAUCUGGAGGAACACCGGUGGCGAAGGCGGCAUCCUGGACCGGUAUUGACGCUGAGGAGCGAAAGCCAGGGGAGCAAACGGG
rnacentral:rRNA from 1 species